AUUGAACGCUGGCGGCAUGCCUUACACAUGCAAGUCGAACGGCAGCACGGGAGCAAUCCUGGCGGCGAGUGGCGAACGGGUGAGUAAUAUAUCGGAACGUGCCCAGUAAUGGGGGAUAGCCCGGCGAAAGCCGGAUUAAUACCGCAUACGACCUACGGGUGAAAGCAGGGGAUCGCAAGACCUUGCGAUAUUGGAGCGGCCGAUAUCAGAUUAGCUAGUUGGUGGGGUAAAAGCCUACCAAGGCGACGAUCUGUAGCUGGUCUGAGAGGACGACCAGGCACACUGGGACGGAGACACGGCCCAGACUCCUACGGGAGGCAGCAGUGGGGAAUUUUGGACAAUGGGCGCAAGCCUGAUCCAGCCAUGCCGCGUGUGGGAAGAAGGCCUUCGGGUUGUAAACCACUUUUGUCAGGGAAGAAACGCUCUGGGCUAAUACCCUGGGGUAAUGACGGUACCUGAAGAAUAAGCACCGGCUAACUACGUGCCAGCCGCCGCAGUAAUAC
rnacentral:rRNA from 1 species